UACGUAGGGCGCAAGCGUUGUCCGGAAUUAUUGGGCGUAAAGAGCUCGUAGGCGGUUUGUCGCGUCUGCUGUGAAAACCUAAGGCUCAACCUUGGGCUUGCAGUGGGUACGGGCAGACUAGAGUGCGGUAGGGGUGACUGGAAUUCCUGGUGUAGCGGUGGAAUGCGCAGAUAUUAGGAAGAACACCAGUGGCGAAGGCGGCCAACUGGCCCGAUACUGACGCUC
rnacentral:rRNA from 1 species